rnacentral:rRNA from 1 species
GACGAACGCUGGCGGCGUGCUUAACACAUGCAAGUCGAACGGACAGGCCACUUUCGGGGGGCACUCGAGUGGGGAACGGGUGAGUAAGUAGUGCGUAGCCAGCCCAUGUAUAUGGGAUAACUUAAGGAAACUGGGGCUAACACAUGACGGGAGCUACUGUUGAACGGUGGGGGUUGGAAAGUUUCGCGGGCUGGGGGUGGCCUGGCGGCGUAUCCGCUUUGUGGUGGGGAGGUGGCUAACCAACGGGUUAACGUGUAGACGGUCUGUGAGAGUGACCGGCCACAUUGAGACUGAGAGGCGGCCCAGACACCUACGGGAGGCAGCAGGGGGGAAUAUUGCACGAUGGGUGGAGGCCGGAUGCUGCAACGCCGUGUGCGGGAUGACGGCCUUCGGGUUGUAGACCGCUUUCGCUCAUGACGAAGCUUUGUUUGACGGUAGUUGGUAAAGAAGCACCGGCUAACUACGUG